rnacentral:rRNA from 1 species
AGCGAACGCUGGCGGCAGGCUUAACACAUGCAAGUCGAGCGGGCACUUUCGGGUGUCAGCGGCGGACGGGUGAGUAACGCGUGGGAACGUGCCCUCUGGUUCGGAAUAACUCAGGGAAACUUGAGCUAAUACCGGAUACGCCCUUUUGGGGAAAGGCUUGCUGCCGGAGGAUCGGCCCGCGUCUGAUUAGCUAGUUGGUGAGGUAACGGCUCACCAAGGCGACGAUCAGAAGCUGGUCUGAGAGGAUGAUCAGCCACACUGGGACUGGGACACGGCCCAGACUUCUACGGGAGGGAGCAGUGGGGAAUAUUGGACACUGGGCGCAAGCCUGAUCCCGCCGUGCCGCGUGAGUGAUGAAGGCCUUAGGGUUGUAAAGCUCUUUUAUCCGGGACGAUAAUGACGGUACCGGAGGAAUAAGCCCCGGCUAACUUCGU